GACGAACGCUGGCGGCGUGCUUAACACAUGCAAGUCGAACGAUGAACCCGGAGCUUGCUCCGGCGGAUUAGUGGCGAACGGGUGAGUAACACGUGAGUAACCUGCCCUUGACUCUGGGAUAACUGCGGGAAACUGUAGCUAAUACCGGAUACGACCCUCGGCGGCAUCGCCAGGGGGUGGAAAGAAUUUCGGUCAAGGAUGGACUCGCGGCCUAUCAGCUAGUUGGUGAGGUAACGGCUCACCAAGGCGACGACGGGUAGCCGGCCUGAGAGGGUAACCGGCCACACUGGGACUGAGACACGGCCCAGACUCCUACGGGAGGCAGCAGUGGGGAAUAUUGCACAAUGGGCGCAAGCCUGAUGCAGCAACGCCGCGUGAGGGAUGACGGCCUUCGGGUUGUAAACCUCUUUUAGCAGGGAAGAAGCGAAAGUGACGGUACCUGCAGAAAAAGCACCGGCUAACUACGUGCCAGCCGCCGCAGUAA
rnacentral:rRNA from 1 species